AAAAAAUCCAUAAAAUAUGCAUAAUGGAUCUAGUGACAAAUAUACAACAUUUAUUCACCAUACAGCAGUGAAUAUUUUUAUGGACAUAUGCAGCAGUGAAUAUACAAAUUUACGAGUUCGAUACUCAAGGGUACAUCUCAGCAGUGAUUAUUUUUAUAGGACAUAUACAACAUUUAUUCACCAUACAUCACAAUAUCACAUAUAUAUAAACUCUUUGUUGUGUUCCUUGGGAUACACGAAAAAUGAAACAAAGGAAGAAGAAACAACAAGCCCUAGCCCAAAACAUUGUAGACUGAAGAUCAAAUCUUUAAAACAUCAAAUUUACUGCUAAUAGGGCUUCACUGACUUCUUCUAGGCCUUAUUAAACUGAGGCCAAGCCCACUGCCUCCGUCACAUUCCCGGAUAAGCCAUAUAUACCAAGAAUCAAAUCUCAAGCGAAUCGAUUUUAAAAUAUAGAAGAAGGGAUAAAUGAUGAAGAUGACCAGCAUGGUUCUCUUGUCCACUUACGGUGUGGGGACUGGUCGGCAUAUUCUUUUCCGACCACGUGCCUCCCCAGGGACUCUCAACGUGAUAUACACGCCGAAAGUGGAAAACAGAGCUCUGAGUAUUGGAGGAGAAUCUUAACAGUGCUAAUAUUUAAAUAACGACCAUGUGGUCACUCAUAUACUUUUCUCUAUUCUUUUUAAUCGAUCAUAAAAUGCUUAAUUUGAUUUUACCACUCUUUUUAGACUGUUAAUUGGUUCUUCCUUUUGUUGAGGCUUCAACUUCAAGCAACACCGCAUCCAUAAUGGAUCCAAACUAGGAGUCAAAGUGAAUAUGUCCCUUCAAAAUACAUUAUUGCAUUGAUUUGCCGAUA
rnacentral:lncRNA from 1 species